rnacentral:lncRNA from 1 species
CUAACCCGCACAAUCAACCCAGCUGAUGACCUCUAUCUAACCCGCACAAUCAACCCGGCUGAUGACCUCUAUCUAACCCACACAAUCAACCCAGCUGAUGACCUCUAUCUAACCCACAGAAUCAACCCGGCUGAUGACCUCUAUCUAACCCACACAAUCAACCCGGCUGAUGACCUCUAUCUAACCCACACAAUCAACCCUGCUGAUGACCUCUAUCUAACCCACACAAUCAACCCGGCUGAUGAUCUCUAUCUAACCCACACAAUCAACCCGGCUGAUGAUCUCUAUCUAACCCACACAAUCAACCCGGCUGAUGACCUCUAUCUAACCCACACAAUCAACCCGGCUGAUGAUCUCUAUCUAACCCACACAAUCAACCCGGCUGAUGAUCUCUAUCUAACCCGCACAAUCAACCCGGCUGAUGAUCUCUAUCUAACCCGCACAAUCAACCCGGCUGAUGAUCUCUAUCUAACCCACACAAUCAACCCGGCUGAUGAUCUCUAUCUAACCCACACAAUCAACCCGGCUGAUGAUCUCUAUCUAACCCGCACAAUCAACCCGGCUGAUGAUCUCUAUCUAACCCGCACAAUCAACCAAGCUGAUGACCUCUAUCUAACCCGCACAAUCAACCCAGCUGAUGAUCUCUAUCUAACCCACACAAUCCACCAGGCUGAUGAUCUCUAUCUAACCCACACAAUCAACCUGGCUGAUGACCUCUAUCUAACCUGCACAAUCAACCCAGCUUUUCACAGUGGACUGGCGAAGGGUGGAAAAGGGCAGGCGUCACCUCCAGUCUCUGGUUGCAGCUGUCUGUGCAGUGCUGGCUGACAUCCUGGUCGCAGCUGUGUGUGCAGUGCUGGCUGACGUCCUGGUUGCAGCUGUCUGUGCAGUGCUGGCUGACGUCCUGGUCGCAGCUGUCUGUGCAGUGCUGGCUGAUGUCCACGCUGACCACAGCCUCACAGGGAAACUUCAUGCUGAUCACAACAGCAUCUGCAUCUUUUAAGGCGGCCAUAUCUAAGCAGAAGAAAACUUUAGAUGAUACAAAAGUUGAUUUAGGCAAAUGAGAAACUGUUUUGUUUGGUUUUGUUUUUGAGAGAAUCUUGCCGUA